CCUACGGGUGGCUGCAGUGGGGAAUAUUGCACAAUGGGGGAAACCCUGAUGCAGCAACGCCGCGUGAGCGAUGAAGGCCUUCGGGUCGUAAAGCUCUGUCCUAAGGGAAGAAUACUGACGGUACCUUAGGAGGAAGCCCCGGCUAACUGCGUGCCAGCAGCCGCGGUAAUACGUAGGGGGCUAGCGUUAUCCGGAAUUACUGGGCGUAAAGGGUGCGUAGGCGGCCCUUCAAGUCAGAGGUGAAAGGCUACGGAUCAACCGUAGUAAGCCUUGGAAACUGUAGGGCUUGAGUGAAGGAGAGGGGAGUGGAAUUCCGAGGGUGGCGGUGAAAGGCGUAGAUAUUGGGAGGACAACCAAUUGGGAAGGGGGCUUUGUGGAUUGUAACUGACGCUGGGGCACGAAGGCGUGGGGAGCGAACAGGAUUAGAUCCCCCGGUAGUC
rnacentral:rRNA from 1 species